CCUACGGGUGGCAGCAGUGGGGAAUAUUGCGCAAUGGGCGAAAGCCUGACGCAGCGACGCCGCGUGAGGGAUGAAGGUCUUCGGAUCGUAAACCUCUGUCAGCAGGGAAGAACGGGCACUGUGCUAAUCAGCAGUGAAUUGACGGUACCUGCAAAGGAAGCACCGGCUAACUCCGGGCCAGCAGCCGCGGUAAUACGGAGGGUGCGAGCUUUAAUCGGAAUUACUGGGCGUAAAGCGCUCGUAGGCGGUAUGUCAAGUCAAGGGUGAAAUCCCCGCGCUUAACGUGGGAACUGCCUUUGAAACUGGCAGACUGGAGUGUGUGAGAGGAUAGUGGAAUUCCAGGUGUAGGAGUGAAAUCCGUAGAUAUCUGGAGGAACAUCAGUGGCGAAGGCGACUAUCUGGCACAUAACUGACGCUGAGGAGCGAAAGCGUGGGUAGCAAACAGGAUUAGAUACCCCUGUAGUC
rnacentral:rRNA from 1 species